GAUGAACGCUGGCGGCGUGCUUAACACAUGCAAGUCGANCGAUGAUNCCAGCUUGCUNGGGGAUUAGUGGCGAACGGGUGAGUAACACGUGAGUAACCUGCCCUUGACUCUGGGAUAACACCUGGGAAACUGGGUCUAAUACCGGAUACGUNCAUCUGGCGCAUGUCAUGGUGGUGGAAAGCUUUNGUGGUUUUGGAUGNACUCGCGNCCUAUCAGCUUGUUGGUGGGGUAAUNGCCUACCAAGGCGACGACGNGUAGCCGGCCUGAGAGGGUGACCGNCCACACUGGGUCUGAGACACGGACCAGACNUGCUACGGGAGNCAGCAGUGGGGAAUAUUGCACAAUGGGCGCAAGCCUGAUNCAGNGNCGCCGCNUGAGGGANGACCGNCUNCGGGUUGUAAACCUCUUUCAGUANGGNAGAAGCAAAGU
rnacentral:rRNA from 1 species